rnacentral:rRNA from 1 species
GAACGCUGGCGGCGUGUCUGAUUCAUGCAAGUCGAACGCGAAAGUCCCUUCGGGGAUACUAGCGUGGCGUAAGGGCGAGUAAUACGUGGGCAACCUACCCCCGGGAUGGGGAUAACCCCGCGAAAGCGGGGCUAAUACCGAAUGACGUGCCGAGAUCGCCUGAUUUUGGCACCAAAGGCGGGGAUCCGCAAGGACCCGUCACCUGAGGACGGGCCCACGGCCUAUCAGCUUGUUGGUGAGGUAACGGCUCACCAAGGCGAUGACGGGUAGCCGACCUGAGAGGGUCUUCGGCCGCACUGGGACUGCGACACUGCCCAGACUCCUACGGGAGGCAGCAGAGGAGAAUCAUUUGGCAAUGGGCGAAAGCCUGACCAUGCGACGCCGCGUGAGGGAUGAAGGCCUUCGGGUCGUAAACCUCUGUCGAGAGUAGGGGAACGGCGGGGGCGUUAAUAGCGCUUCCGCGUGACUAAGGCUCUGGGAGGAAGCCACGGCUAACUACGUGCCAGCAGCCGCGGUAAUACGUAGGUGGCGAGCGUUACUCGGAAUCACUGGGCAUAAAGGGCGUGUAGGCGGGUUCGCAAGUCCAAUGUGAAAGCCCCCGGCUCAACCGGGGAAGGCCAUUGGAAACUGCGAGUCUUGAGUGCGGGAGGGGAGAGUGGAACUCUUGAUGGAGCGGUGAUAUGCGUAGAUAUCAAGAGGAACGCCGGUGGCGAAAGCGACUCUCUGGCCCGUAACUGACGCUGAGGCGCGAAAGCCAGGGGAGCAAACGGGAUUAGAUACCCCGGUAGUCCUGGCCCUAAACGAUGGGUACUAGGUAGAGGUAGCUCUGAUGCUUUCUCUGCCGUAGCUAAUGUGAUAA